rnacentral:rRNA from 1 species
AACGAACGCUGGCGGCAUGCCUAACACAUGCAAGUCGAACGAGACCUUCGGGUCUAGUGGCGCACGGGUGCGUAACGCGUGGGAACCUGCCCUUAGGUUCGGAAUAACUCCCCGAAAGGGGUGCUAAUACCGGAUAAUGUCUUCGGACCAAAGAUUUAUCGCCUUUGGAUGGGCCCGCGUUGGUUUAGCUAGUUGGUAGGGUAAAAGCCUACCAAGGCGACGAUCCAUAGCUGGUCUGAGAGGAUGAUCAGCCACACUGGGACUGAGACACGGCCCAGACUCCUACGGGAGGCAGCAGUGGGGAAUAUUGGACAAUGGGCGAAAGCCUGAUCCAGCAAUGCCGCGUGAGUGAUGAAGGCCUUAGGUUUGUAAAGCUCUUUUACCCGGGAUGAUAAUGACAGUACCGGGAGAAUAAGCUCCGGCUAACUCCGUG